CCUAUGGGGGGCAGCAGGGACGAAAACUUUACAAUGCACGAAAGUGUGAUAAGGGGAUUCUAAGUGAUAUAGCUUAUGGUUAUAUCUGUGGAGAAAUGUAAAAUGUUUCUCAAGAAAGGGGUGGGCAAUAUCGGUGCCAGCAGCCGCGGUAAUACCGGAGCCCCGAGUGGUGACCCUAUUUAUUGGGCCUAAAGCGUCUGUAGCCGGAUUAUUAAGUUCUCGGUGAAAUUGUUAGGCUUAACCUAACGAAUGGCCUUGAAUACUGGUAAUCUAGGGAUCGGGAGAGGUCAAGAGUAUGCCUAGGGGAGGGGUAAAAUCCAUUAAUCCUAGGUGGACUACCAAUGGCAAAGGCACUUGACUAGAACGAGUCCGACGGUGAGAGACGAAAGCUAGGGUAGCAAACGGGAUUAGAUACCCGGGUAGUCC
rnacentral:rRNA from 1 species